GACGAACGCUGGCGGCGUGCUUAACACAUGCCAGUCGAACGGAAAGGCCCUGCUUUUGUGGGGUGCUCGAGUGGCGAACGGGUGAGUAACACGUGAGUAACCUGCCCUUGACUUUGGGAUAACUUCAGGAAACUGGGGCUAAUACCGGAUAGGAGCUCCUGCUGCAUGGUGGGGGUUGGAAAAUUUCGGCGGUUGGGGAUGGACUCGCGGCUUAUCAGCUUGUUGGUGGGGUAGUGGCUUACCAAGGCUUUGACGGGUAGCCGGCCUGAGAGGGUGACCGGCCACAUUGGGACUGAGAUACGGCCCAGACUCCUACGGGAGGCAGCAGUGGGGAAUAUUGCACAAUGGGCGGAAGCCUGAUGCAGCAACGCCGCGUGCGGGAUGACGGCCUUCGGGUUGUAAACCGCUUUCGCCUGUGACGAAGCGUGAGUGACGGUAAUGGGUAAAGAAGCACCGGCUAACUACGUG
rnacentral:rRNA from 1 species